CUGCCCUUGGGAGAGAAAGAAGACACUGCACCUUUAAGUCUGCAGCUGGUUGAGAAAAACAAGCUGUGAUUUAUAUAAGCGGGAAAAUCAUGUGAUUUGCAGGAACGCUCCCUCCUCCCCCGACCCCCCGCGUCGCCUCCAAGCCCUUCCCAGAGGGGCCCGGGCGGCGGGCUGGGCCCGGCUGCCCAUGAGGGGCGCGGGUGGGGGGCGCGCCGAGCCUCGGUUCACAAAGCCUCUUCCCCGGGCGUGCAUUCCCGCAGCUCUUCCUUGCGGACCUCAGACGCGGGGACAGGCGGCGGCGGGCUCUGGGGCGCGGCAGUUUGGUCCCCACGCUGCCUCGCGGCGGGCUGCCGUUCAGGGGGUCCUCGGUGGGGCCCCGCGGUCCUGUGCCUCCGAGGGCGCAGGAGGCCCACUCCCCCGACUGGGUCGGCUGCUACCCUCAGGCCAGGGUGUGCGGUGGAGAAACUGAGGCUCUCCUCCAGCUGCUCUGGGAGAAAGGAAAGCCGGGGACCCCACACACUGGCGUCUGUGUCCCAGAACACCCAGCAGGGGGGAGAGCAAUUUAAGAAAUAAUCUGGUUGGCAAAGGGCGUCAUGAAAAUCAGCCAUUUCUAGAGCUGAGGGGCGGUGGUGUUUAGCCCAGAGGACCUAGCUAGCUUUCAGGGAAAAAACGGAUGUGGCCUUUCAGGCAGAGCCCAGAAAAAAAGACCUGUGAUUAGGAGACCCUAAGAACCAGCAAAGAACUUCUAAAUAUUGGAGGGGAGGUGGUGUAGCUGCAAAGAGCCCACACCCACGCUGAGUUAGCUCUGACAGCUUCUAAAGGAAAGGGAGAUGCUUAGAUUAUCCUGAGAAACUGGAGGAUCUCCUGAGUGACCUGAAAAGGUCAUCUCACUCAUCCGCCUGUGGCUGGAGUAAAAUAUACGGAGCCCAUCCCAGGACUCCCAGUGGGAGAGGAUGAACAAUCACUUCUGAAACUAAGCUCAGGAGAAGUUGAGGAGCUUUCUCAAGGGAGAAGAGCUGCCAGGAGAAGCAAGGGUCUCUCUCAGUGCCACUUCCUUUCCAUAAACCAUAAUGAUGGGCUCUGAAAUUGUCCAAGGAAGGAAACCCAUGGCUUCUCAGAGCAACCAGUACCAGGGGUUCAAGUUCGUCAGAGAGCAUGUUGAAGUUCUAUUUUAUUUUCCUCCAUUGGUCACCUGCUGGGGAUGAGGCAUAGGCCUAGUGUUGUCACCUUCAAAAGAAGCCAGAUCUGGACCGCUGAGGUUUUUAAAAAAUGCAAUGAGCGAAUUAGUGAAAUCAGUUCAUCACGGACACUGUGUCUUUCAGGAAAUGAAGCCUCCGAAGAAAAAAGGGAUCCUAGCCCCUGCCAAAUUCCAUUCUGUUUCAAAUUAGCCUUCCAGUAAAAUGAGGGGGCUGUCCUAACUGGUCUUUAAGGUCCUCCUAGUACCAGAGCUCUGAGGCUCUGUAUUUCCCCUGAACAACCUCUUGGAACUCUCCACAUUCUCAUAACAGAAGAAAAUGCAUUUGUGCUCUGGGCUGAAGCUCAGAAGUGGGCUUUCACGACAGUCAUUUCAGGCCUGUUUCCCUUUUUCUCCCUUCCCUGAAAGGGCCUCUGGUCUUUCCCAAGCUGCCUGAGUAGAAGGAAACACACAGCUCCCCCAGAGCAGAGAGGCCCGCGAGAGGGAAAGCUGGCCCAGGCCCAGGGCAGGCUCGCCUCUGACUCUGCAGGGACAUUAUUCCCUCCCAGCCAGCAGGGAACUUCUGGAACUUCUAAACAGCACAUCCUCGAGCCAGCCCAGGCCCCCACAGCAUCCUGCACCCCAGGUUUACAAGCUUUUUAAUGGCUGGUCCAGAGAUUUCAGGAUGCAUCACUGAUUCCAGGCAGGGCUCCAUCCCCGGCCCACACUCAGCCCAGGACCUGGCCAGAGAAUCACCAAGCAUUCCCGGCAACACGAUGCACGGCCCAUUUUCCAUGCCAGGCUCUUCCAGGGUCUCUGGGUGGGAGCAGCCCGGCCUUCUCACUGGGUUCCUGCUAUGUCUGGGGGGUACAAAAAGCUUAUGUUGGCCAGGCGCAGUGGCUCAUGCCUGUAAUGCCAGCACUUUGGGAAGCCAAGGCAGGCAGAUCAAUUGAGGACAGGAGUUCAAGACCAGCAUGGCCAACAUGGUGAAAUCCUGUCUCUACUGAAAAUACAAAAAUUAGCCAGGCAUGGUGGCACAUCCUAUAGUCCCAGCUACUCAGGAGGCUGAAGCAGGAGAAUCACUUGAACCUGGGAGGCAGAGGUUGCAGUGAGCCAAGAUUGCGCCCCUGCACUCCAGCCUGGGCGACAGAGCGAAAACCUGU
rnacentral:lncRNA from 10 species